rnacentral:rRNA from 1 species
CCUACGGGAGGCAGCAGUGAGGAAUCUUGGACACUGAGCGCAAGCUUGAUCCAGCUAUUUCGCGUGGGUGAUGAAGGUUAUAUUGAUCGUAAAGCCCUUUCAUGAAGAUGUCAAGAUAAUGUCUUAACUUCAAGAAGAAGCUCCGGCAAAUUCUGUGCCAGCAGCCGCGGUAAU